rnacentral:snRNA from 1 species
AUGCUCACUUGGGAAGCAUAUAUUCUAAAAUUGGAAUGAUACAGAGAAGAUUAGCAUGGUCCCUUCACAAGGAUGAUAUACAAAUUUGUGAAGCAUUCCAUAUUUUU